ACUGGCUAGUGCGCAGCUCCUGGGGAGAUGCCACCUGCUAAGCCGUGGAGAGUCCGGCGUGGGCGCCGGCCUCCCACGUUCCCAUUGAGAAAGUGCACACCCGGGCCGCUGAGGAGGACGCAAGCCAAGGAAACCAGCACCAGAUCACACCGAGAGUCAAGGGGAGGGAGACCCAAAGGAGUCCGGUGGAUGGCUCAGUGAAUGGAAGAGCUGCAAAUAGAACCCGGGCUGGUGAACAGAGGAGUGUAUCCUCACAACUUGCCAGCAAGCCUACAGGACUGUGACAUCACUUGAACCCAUGUCAUCCCUUCCGGUCAACAUUUACUACCCUCUAUGGCGGAGUGUUUAGACGUGUCUUUGACUUCGCUUGUGACACCAUUCUUCCUAUAAAUCUCAUUUCCUCA